rnacentral:lncRNA from 10 species
UGCUCCUGAGCUCCAAUGCCCUAUAUCCAUCUCAUCCUUGCACGUCUCAAAUUCAGCAUGCCAAAAAAUGUUAUUCUUUCUCCCAAAGAUAUGUUUUUUCAACAUGUCUGCUAUCAUAUACCCUUUAACCCAAGCCCACAGUCUAGGAAUCAACCUCUCUCUUUCUUUCUCUCCAAAAACCAAUUGAUAAGGAAAUCCUCCUCUCCAUUCUACCUCCAUAACAUAUUUUAGAUCCAGCAGCAUGCUCAUUAGUAUGUCUCAUUUUAUAUCCCCAUCACUUCUCUCCUAAAUGACUACCACUAACUUAUGGUCUCCUUACCUCCCACCACGCCUUUACUCCAAUCUACAGAAAGAUGGCGCUUUCUCAAAUACAAAAUCAAAUAUUUAAUUCACCAGAUGAAAAAUCUUUAGCGACCUAUACCAUGGUUCUCAAAUUUCCCAUCAGGUCACCCUGGGACACCACAGGGAACAAACUCACAAGGUUGCUGUGGGAUAUUUUAAAUGUUUGAGAGAAAUACAGCCCCACCUAUCAAACACCUCACAAAUGACCACUAAUAUGUUGUUUAGACUUACCUACUUAACGAAUGGAAUUGUGAAGUAUGUCUUCUGGCUGAGGGCACCAUGAACAAAUUACGAAGAUGCUACAGAUGCAGUGAGCUGGAAAGUUUGGGAACCUAUGACUUACCAAACAUCUUCAAGCCUCCUACGUUGGCAUGAACUCAUCUUUACCUACUGCUCCAGCCUUGUUUUGAUCCUUACUGUGCCUUUCUUUUCCCCCCAGUCCUACACUACAGCCAAGCAGACAGGCUUGGAUCUCCCCAAAUACAUCCUUCUUGCCAUCCUGAUUGGUUAGGCCCUGAAACCUAAGAGAGUAGGGACCUGGAGCUCCCGGAGUCUAGGUGUGAGACCAGGUGCCC